rnacentral:rRNA from 1 species
CCCUUAGAUGUUCUGGGCCGCACGCGCGCUACACUGAUGAAUUCAACGAGCACUAACCUGUGCAGAAAUGUUCGGGUAAUCUUGUGAAAUUUCAUCGUGAUGGGGAUUGAUUAUUGCAAUUAUUAAUCAUAAACGAGGAAUGCCUAGUAAGCGUGAGUCAUCAGCUCACGUUGAUUACGUCCCUGCCCUUUGUACACACCGCCCGUCGCUCCUACCGAUUGAGUGGUCCGGUGAGGCUUUGGGAUCUGAGCGGAAAGAGCGUUUCGCUGUUUCUGCUCGGAAAACUCAGUCGAACCUUAUCAUUUAGAGGAAGGAGAAGUCGUAACA